AAUCUCGAAGGUCUUUUAAGUCUUGAAAGUCUUGGUUACUUUAAUAAAUCUUGAAAGCUUAACACGUAGUCAAUAUUUUACAAGUAUUUUAGAUAUUACGUUAGAUAUUAAACAAAAUCUAAAAUGUCUGAGGUAUCGGAAAUGUAUUCCAAUGCAAUUUUCAAGACUUUCAAGACUUACAAGAUUUCCAAGGCUUACAAGACUUUCAAGAGUUAUUCCUAUUCAAAGAAUCCUAUUCGAAGUGAUUCAAAAUUUUGACGGUCUUGAAAAAUAUCGAAUCGUUCUGAAAUUAAUUGUGAGAUUCGAAUACCAAUCACUACUUGCAGCUACAUCAUCUAUUAAAUAACAUUAUUAAAGGUUAACGUUUCUGUUGUGUUUGUAUUCAAAGAUAUUAGAUUGUUCUUGUCAAGGUCAACAAUUUUUUAAACGACGAAAGCAUAUACUUAUGUACUUUCAUUCAUUCAAACUUGUUUAAAUAAAUUUAUUAAUAAACUCAAAUCUGACGUUUUUGAUAAGUUUUGAAUAUCGAGUGAAUUAAACUAAAAAAGGUUUAAUAUUGUGUCAUUGAAAAAAGAAUGUUUUAUUAACAAAUUCUGAAUGUUUCUUCUUAAUUUUCUUUAAUAUUCAACUAAAAGCAGUAUUUGUUUGAAUGUUCUAUUAUUUUCUAGAAAUUUAUAUAAAAAGCUACGAAUUUUUCGAAUAGCCUACUAAUUAAACAAUUGAGAUGGUAAAUAAUGUGUGCUAGAAGAGAAAAAGAAGGAUAUAAACGUAUUGAAUUAGUUAAAUUAAAGACUACAUUGAUACCUUUAUAUUUUUUAAUCAGAACAAAAGUGGCUCUUAGAAAUUUUGGUUCUAUGUAUUUUAUAUGAUAGCUCUAACAAGUGAAAUGUAUUAUUUUAUCACUUAUACAAAAAUAGGAAAAACGCAUCGAUUGGUCUAUAAGUAAAUAUACUUAAAUAUACUAUAGUUCGGUUUAAAGAGAUAAAAAUGACUUUAAUAUUUGAAAUAUCUUCACUUCCGGGUUAGCAAAGUGUACCACGUGAUGCAUGAUUCAAAACUAUUUAAUCUUGUGAUAUUUUUAUCUGUUACUGUUUACAAAGCAUGACUUCAUCCAGUAACAAGAAAUGCUAUAGCAUACAUGACAAUUUUUAUAACAAAUAUGGCAUCAAUUAAAGCAUAUUUAAUCCAGUAAGAACUAAGUAGGAAGAUAAUUCGUAGAAGUUGCAUAAACGUAGUAUUAUUGGAAAACGCAAAUAAAGUAACUUGUUUUGUCAAGUUGUAGGAGAUGGGUGUCGGAAGAAAUAGUAAUUGAAAGAAAUAUUAUUCCAAUUCCUUGGGAUUCUUCUUUAAUAUAAUGUUAAAACAUAAAAUUGGCUAAUAUAAAUUAAUUGAAGAAUGUUACAAAUAAAAUGUUGCGUCACUGCAACGUUGUUUUUUAACGGAUUAAUGGAUACUAAAACACGGUAAUAAUAUAACAUGUUGAUAUUUUACGAUGUACAAGUAAUCGAUGAGGACGAGUUACUUCACACUAUGAGAUGUGAGACGUUUGCAGUGUAUGCAGCGGGCGAUAAUCUGAUAUCGUCUGAACGUGGUAUAGGUCGUUGA